GACGAACGCUGGCGGCGUGCCUAAUACAUGCAAGUCGAGCGCAGGAAACUGACGGAACUCUUCGGAGGGAAGGCAGUGGAAUGAGCGGCGGACGGGUGAGUAACACGUAAGGAACCUGCCUCAAGGAUUGGGAUAACUCCGAGAAAUCGGAGCUAAUACCGGAUAGUUCAUCGGACCGCAUGGUCCGUUGAUGAAAGGCGCUCCGGCGUCACCUUGAGAUGGCCUUGCGGUGCAUUAGCUAGUUGGUGGGGUAACGGCCCACCAAGGCGACGCUGGAUAGACGACCGGAGAGGGUGAUCGGCCACACUGGGACUGAGACACGGCCCAGACUCCUACGGGAGGCAGCAGUAGGGAAUCUUCCACAAUGGACGAAAGUCUGAUGGAGCAACGCCGCGUGAGUGAUGAAGGUUUUCGGAUCGUAAAACUCUGUUGUAAGGGAAGAACACGUACGAGAGGGAAUGCUCGUACCUUGACGGUACCUUACGAGAAAGCCACGGCUAACUACGUGCCAGCCGCCGCCGUAA
rnacentral:rRNA from 1 species